rnacentral:rRNA from 1 species
UGGGGAAUAUUGCACAAUGGGCGCAAGCCUGAUGCAGCCAUGCCGCGUGUAUGAAGAAGGCCUUCGGGUUGUAAAGUACUUUCAGCGGGGAGGAAGGGAGUAAAGUUAAUACCUUUGCUCAUUGACGUUACCCGCAGAAGAAGCACCGGCUAACUCCGUGCCAGCAGCCGCGGUAAUACGGAGGGUGCGAGCGUUAAUCGGAAUUACUGGGCGUAAAGCGCACGCAGGCGGUUUGUUAAGUCAGAUGUGAAAUCCCCGGGCUCAACCUGGGAACUGCAUCUGAUACUGGCAAGCUUGAGUCUCGUAGAGGGGGGUAGAAUUCCAGGUGUAGCGGUGAAAUGCGUAGAGAUCUGGAGGAAUACCGGUGGCGAAGGCGGCCCCCUGGACAAAGACUGACGCUCAGGUGCGAAAGCGUGGGGAGCAAACAGG